rnacentral:rRNA from 1 species
AGAGUUGAUCUGGCUCAGGACGAACGCUGGCGGCGUGCCUAACACAUGCAAGUCGAGCGAGGAGAUCCUCGGGAUGAUCCUAGCGGCGGACGGGUGAGUAACACGUGGGCAACCUGCCUCAUAGAGAGGAAUAGCCUUCCGAAAGGGAGAUUAAUACCUCAUAACAUUGCAGUUUCGCAUGGAACAGCAAUUAAAGGAGCAAUCCGCUAUGAGAUGGGCCCGCGGCGCAUUAGCUAGUUGGUGAGGUAACGGCUCACCAAGGCGACGAUGCGUAGCCGACCUGAGAGGGUGAUCGGCCACAUUGGGACUGAGACACGGCCCAGACUCCUACGGGAGGCAGCAGUGGGGAAUAUUGCACAAUGGGGGAAACCCUGAUGCAAGCAACGCCGCGUGAGUGAUGACGGCCUUCGGGUUGUAAAGCUCUGUCUUCAGGGACGAUAAUGACGGUACCUGAGGAGGAAGCCACGGCUAACUACGUGCCAGCCGCUGC